rnacentral:rRNA from 1 species
UGCCAGCAGCCGCGGUAAUACGGGGGGGACUAGCGUUGUUCGGAAUCACUGGGCGUAAAGCGUGCGUAGGCGGCGCGGAAAGUCAGUUGUGAAAUCUCUGGGCUCAACCCGGAAACUGCAGCCGAUACUCCCGCGCUAGAGUAAUGGAGGGGUAGCUGGAAUUCUCGGUGUAGCAGUGAAAUGCGUAGAUAUCGAGAGGAACACUCGUGGCGAAGGCGAGCUACUGGACAUUUACUGACGCUGAGGCACGAAGGCCAGGGUAGCGAAAGGGAUUAGAUA